rnacentral:rRNA from 1 species
UACGUAGGGUGCGAGCGUUGUCCGGAAUUAUUGGGCGUAAAGGGCUCGUAGGCGGUCUGUCGCGUCGGGAGUGAAAACUCAGGGCUUAACCGUGAGCCUGCUUCCGAUACGGGCAGACUAGAGGUAUGCAGGGGAGAACGGAAUUCCUGGUGUAGCGGUGAAAUGCGCAGAUAUCAGGAGGAACACCGGUGGCGAAGGCGGUUCUCUGGGCAUUACCUGACGCUGAGGAGCGAAAGUGUGGGGAGCGAACAGG